rnacentral:tRNA from 1 species
GGUAGGAUGGCUGAGGUAAGCAGUGGGUUGUAGCCCCAUUUACAGAGGUUUAAUCCCUCUUCCUGCCA